rnacentral:piRNA from 1 species
UGGUGGGAGAUGCCACGUGGCUGGGCUGA